rnacentral:rRNA from 1 species
UACAGAGGUCUCAAGCGUUGUUCGGAUUCAUUGGGCGUAAAGGGUGCGUAGGCGGCGCGGUAAGUCGGGUGUGAAAUCUCGGAGCUUAACUCCGAAACUGCAUUCGAUACUGCCGUGCUUGAGGACUGGAGAGGAGACUGGAAUUUACGGUGUAGCGGUGAAAUGCGUAGAUAAUCGUAAGGAAGACCAGUGGCGAAGGCGGGUCUCUGGACAGUUCCUGACACUGAGGCACGAAGGCCAGGGGAGCAAACGGG